GAAGAGCUAUUCUUUGUUCUUGGGAGGAGCAUGCUAGAAAUUUUCUCAAAGUCAGUCCUUGACUUUCAGAAAGUUCCUAGCAUGUUCCUCCUAAGAGCAUGCUCUCUC
rnacentral:pre_miRNA from 1 species